CUCCAAUCUUACAUCUCUAACUCGAAACUGUCAAACAAAGGGAAAGGUAAUGAAAUCUCACCUCUCCUGCCUGUCCCUCACUCCACACCGCAGGGCCUUCCAGAGCCUGUGGCUGAAGGAGGGAGGAAAGGCCUUCCCCUCUGCCGCCUCCCUCCCUUCCUUGCUCCCUCUGUCCCUUCCUCUGUCGUCACACACACACUUCGCAGCGCUACGUUCCCUCUCAGACACAGCCUCUCACGUUUCUCUCUCACGCAUACAUUUCCUCACAGAUGCAGACAUUUCUGUCCAACCUCUCCCUCCCACUCAGCUCGCCCUGCCCGGGCCCCUCCUAUCCCUGCAGGCACACUCGCACAUGCCUGCCCUUUUCCUUCCAAGCCACCGCUGUCUCCCUGCGUGGCUCACUCCCUUCCACUGUGUUUGCCUCUUUGCUUUGUCAAUGAAGACGCGGGCACGUUAACGAGGAGGCCUGUCCUCUGCGGAGGCACACCAGCUCCUUGUCGCUCACUGGCAGAAGUGUCAGCUCACAUUCAUCUUACUCUGCCUGUAAGAGUCCCAUUGGCAUUGCCUCCCCAAGUGGGACCCAUUUUGUGGCACGUGGCCGGGACAACACGUAUCCCUGGGCUUGACAUACACAGACACACAGGAAACAUCGGCCACAGAACAUGCCUCUCCCGCUGCAGGGAGGAGCAUCUAAGGAUGUGCUCUGCAAGUUCCACGAAGGGCCCCGGGUGUGGUAUUUCAUGGUGCAGAGGUGAAGUUCCUCCUCCCUCCUGUUUUAUUGUCUCACAGUUUCCUAUGAGGCAGUCCCUCUGUUACCCCAUCCCACAGACGCCAGUGGAAACUCUGAGCCCCGUGCAAGCUCCCAUGGAGACCCAAGGCCCAGCCUCUCUCCCUGCCCGGCCCUCCACCCCCAGGCCCACAAUCAUCAGAAAGCAGCACUUCCCACUGCAGCCCUGCCUUGACGUGGCCCACAGCUCACUCCAUCCAGACAGUGUGUGCGUGUGUGCGCGCGCUUCUUGUGCUGGAUGA
rnacentral:lncRNA from 1 species